rnacentral:rRNA from 1 species
GAUGAACGCUAGCGGGAGGCCUAACACAUGCAAGCCGAGCGGUAGAGAUUCUUCGGAAUCUUGAGAGCGGCGUACGGGUGCGGAACACGUGUGCAACCUGCCUUUAUCAGGGGGAUAGCCUUUCGAAAGGAAGAUUAAUACCCCAUAAUAUAUUGAUUGGCAUCAAUUAAUAUUGAAAACUCCGGUGGAUAAAGAUGGGCACGCGCAAGAUUAGAUAGUUGGUAGGGUAACGGCCUACCAAGUCAAUGAUCUUUAGGGGGCCUGAGAGGGUGAUCCCCCACACUGGUACUGAGACACGGACCAGACUCCUACGGGAGGCAGCAGUGAGGAAUAUUGGACAAUGGGUGAGAGCCUGAUCCAGCCAUCCCGCGUGAAGGACGACGGCCCUAUGGGUUGUAAACUUCUUUUGUAUAGGGAUAAACCUUUCCACGUGUGGAAAGCUGAAGGUACUAUACGAAUAAGCACCGGCUAACUCCGUGCCAGCCGCCGCCGUAAGAC